rnacentral:rRNA from 1 species
UACGUAGGUGACAAGCGUUGUCCGGAUUUACUGGGCGUAAAGAGCGCGCAGGCGGUCGUUCAAGUCGAGUGUGAAAGCCCCCGGCUCAACUGGGGAGGGUCACUCGAUACUGAUCGACUCGAAGGCAGGAGAGGGAAGUGGAAUUCCCGGUGUAGUGGUGAAAUGCGCAGAUAUCGGGGAAGAACACCCGUGGCCGAAGGCGGCAGCUCGUGGGACGGUACUGGACGCUGAGACGCGAAAGCGUGGGGAGCGAACGAGGA